rnacentral:rRNA from 1 species
GACAGAGGUCUCGAGCGUUAGGCGGAAUCACUGGGCUUAAAGCGUGUGUAGGCGGACUUCUAAGUGCCUUGUGAAAUCCCACGGCUCAACCGUGGAACUGCUGGGCAUACUGGUUGUCUUGGGCCAUCUAGGGGCUACUGGAACAAACGGUGGAGCGGUGAAAUGCGUAGAUAUCGUUUGGAACGCCAAUGGUGAAAACAAGUAGCUGGGGAUGUGCCGACGCUGAGACACGAAAGCCAGGGGAGCGAACGGG